rfam:Spirochaeta sp. LTC14_002_19_P3 _205, whole genome shotgun sequence.
GCCUCUGUAGCUCAGUCGGUAGAGCACAGCCAUGGUAAGGCUGGGGUCAUCGGUUCAAGUCCGAUCGGAGGCU